AGCUACUUUGAGUUAGUGAAUGUGUUUGUUUCUUUAGGCCGUGCUGACAGAAGAACCUCAAACUCAAGCACAGUCUGAAUCACAGAAUGUGCGUGAAGAGGUGCCUGAGGGGACAUUUGAGACUGUCCCGCAGAGUGUACGUGGUAACUUGAAGCUGAAUGACCUCAACACGCUCUAUAAGCAGUUAUCCGAGUACUUCUCAGAUAAGAACAGGGGGCCAAUAAGCACUCAGAGGAUGAAGAAGCUGAACAUGAAAGUUAGUGAUUCUGCAUUGAAGACCUUACAGCACCUUAAACUCAUUGAGCUGGAUAAAAAAGGACUUGUGUCAUUGCUGGCAAAAGACUGAGAAACAGGGACCAAUUAGACCCACAAACCCCACCAAAAUGUGUAAAUCCUCCAGUUCCUUCCACCUGUGUGCUAAAGUAAAACCCUAAAAAAAGUUUAGAACAGGAAUGACAGUGAACUUGAAAAUAUUUCAAAAACAUUGCGUCCGUGAGGUUCAGUAUAUCCAUUAAUCAGGAUUGCAUACAUUUUAAAAGAAAAUAAUCUUAUCAGUCUUUUUAAGGACUAAACUUAUUUUUUCCUGUUAUUUUUCUGUCCUGUUUCCUCUGCAUAAUGUUAUUCAGCCAUUAAACUAUAUCAUGACCUGUUGUGGCAUCAUUAGAUUUGUAUAAGAAAGAAACUGUACAGCAUAAGAGUUUAUAUUUUUUGUAAAGGGAAACAGGUGUUUAU